rnacentral:rRNA from 1 species
CCUACGGGAGGCAGCAGUGGGGAAUAUUGGACAAUGGGCGAAAGCCUGAUCCAGCAAUGCCGCGUGAGUGAUGAAGGCCUUAGGGUUGUAAAGCUCUUUUACCAGGGAUGAUAAUGACAGUACCUGGAGAAUAAGCUCCGGCUAACUCCGUGCCAGCAGCCGCGGUAAUACGGAGGGAGCUAGCGUUGUUCGGAAUUACUGGGCGUAAAGCGUACGUAGGCGGUUAUUCAAGUCAGAGGUGAAAGCCUGGAGCUCAACUCCAGAACUGCCUUUGAAACUAGAUAGCUAGAAUCUUGGAGAGGUGAGUGGAAUUCCGAGUGUAGAGGUGAAAUUCGUAGAUAUUCGGAAGAACACCAGUGGCGAAGGCGACUCACUGGACAAGUAUUGACGCUGAGGUACGAAAGCGUGGGGAGCAAACAGGAUUAGAUACCCUGGUAGUCCACGCCGUAAACGAUGAUAACUAGCUGUUCGGGCUCUACGAGCUUGAGUGGCGCNGCUACGCAUUAAGUUAUCCGUCCGUCGGGAGGUACGGUCGCGAAGAAUUAAACUAACAAAGAAAGUUAGACGGCGUGAGACGUGCCGACGGACGACGACGAGGGAGGUAGG